AUUAUCGCCGACCGCAACAAAUUAGGGUAGCAGUUAGGAGAAGCACGGCUAAGGAGAAUCAAACACCAGCGAACGGCAAUUAGGAGAAGCACAUCCGACCGCCACUAAGGAGAAUCCAGCGCAUGUGCUCCGCGAUCAGACGAGCAAGAAAGCCAUUUUCUUGCUGGUGUUAUGCCCUUUUCAUGCUCUGCUAUGGAGUCUAGCCAUUCUGAAAUCCCUGAAUCCAGUCGUGAUGAGAGGAAUAGAAAACAUAGGGAGCGGUAUGCUUGUAAUGAGACUCGAUGGGCAGAGAGAAACUUGACACGUCGAAAUGCAAUACCACUACCAUCAGUAAACAAGAUGGAGAAGAUGAAGACAAUUCCGAGCUUAAAAAAACACGCACUAAGAAAAAUUAAUUUACUAUGCCGAAAUUACUCUUUUCAUGAUAGAUAGUUAGCUUUAGUUAGUGGUUUCUUUGUUUUUACUUUGGUUAUAAUUUAGCUAUUUCGAAUUUCUUUAUCUUUUUAUUCAAAUAUAAGCACAAAGACUAUUUCUUUA